rnacentral:lncRNA from 1 species
AGUCCCUCUGGCCUUUCCCUUCUGCUUUCAGGAGGGUGAAGGCUAAUCAUCAAACUGAUUCAAAAGUUCUGAAUUCUCAGAGAAAGCCUGAACAGAGACCAGAAUGGGUGUUGCAUCCUGCCUCUCCUGAGCACCACAUUGGCCUGGCUGCUCAAGGCUGCCUGGAGACCACCGUGCACUGCCCUGAUCUGUCAUUCACCAGGACAGCCCUGCUCAACCUCGUGGGAGCAGCUCACCCACAGCCUCCUCACCGACCUCCCGGGCAGCUUGUCGGAGCCGUCUCUUUGCCUAACACAGAAGCUUUGGAAUGAAGCAGGGAGAGAAAGACAGCGUGGAUAGCAGAUCUGCACGUGAAACACAGAUCAAACACGGCCCACAGAAACAAUGGUAGGAAGCAUAACCAGAGUGAAUCGAUUCCUUGAUCCUGCUCUGCCAAAAAAUUAAAGAGGAGCACUCCUGGGGUUUUUAACCCAGAUAAGACUUCAGCCACAGCCGUAUUUCCCAUGUUCCUGGAUCUCUUGUUCUGGCUCUUAUUCUGCGGAUAAAAUGUGGAAUAGAGUAAGCAGUGUCGAGUUCUGCCGGUUCAUCUGGCUUUUUAAAAAAAAAUUAAAUGGCUCUAUCUCUUUGCCCUCAACACUUCUGCACACGCACAUGUGCACGCACACAGCCUUGUUUUACCUUUUCUCCAGAACUAAACUGGACAGACUUUGCCAUUUCUUUCAACAGGACAAGGAGAAGGUAGAAAGGGCCCUCUCAGGCAUCAGCCUCUUAAAAGGACAAAUUUCUUGAAGCAAAGAAAGUUCUAGUCCCCAGUCUGAGACCCAUUCUGUCUCUCCAUCCCCAAGUGAUGACACAACCCCUUCGUUCUCAAAGAUCUGUUUAAAUAUGUAGGUGGUCUUGCUUGAGUCAACUGGUUUUUAUGUCAGCAUUGACCUCAGUCCUGAGAUCCUAGAUUGCCCAGCUGGCAGAGCACUGGAGGGUAGAGCUCGCUGCAAGUGAGGCCAGCCCACCCCCAGCCUUCUGAUGGGCCACUGAGGCCACCCCGUUGGGCUGGUCAUCUGCAGCCGGUGUCCUCUCCUGACCUCUGCUCUAAUCUCAAGGGCACCCUUUAUUUAGACACCACAGUCCAGCCUGAGCCUCAAGUCCUCGAUUCAUUGGCUGGACAUGAGCCAGGGACAGCCACAGGCUGGCUCCAGAGGGCUCCCCAAAAGAGGCCACAGAGGCCCCAGGAGGCAGGCUCUGGCCGAGCUGGAACAGAGAACGGAGGUUUAAAUUUCCGAGGCCUCAGUUCGAAUUCCAGCUCUCUCACUGGCGAUGACCUUGAUCCGUGGGGUAACUUCCCUGAGCCUGGUGCCUGCAUCAAUCAAAUGGAAGAGGAGAAGACCACGUGAACGUGGAGCAGAGUGAGAUGCAAAGAUGCUGGCCUUGACGUUUGUAGUGAUUAGUGAGGCAGCCACAAGCCAAGGAAGGCCAGCAGCCACCAGAAGCCAGAAGAGGCAAG